CCAAGUUCCGAAUCCACCAACAUCAAUUACAUAAAUAAUAUUGACUUCGAAACGACCUAAUCAACCAUCUUCAAAUGGGUUUAAUUCUCCGAAACUUCUCAUUCAUGGCGGGAACCCUCCUCGGAAUCUAUGUCGCCCAAAAUUACGACGUCCCAGAUGUCAAAACUCUUGCAAAUCAAGCCCUUACCACUGCCAAACAACUCGAAGAACGUUAUCCAAGAUUUGGAAACUUUGGGGUCCGAGAUGCAAGAAAUAACUUUUUGGAUAAAAGUGGCCAAAGUGACGAAAAUGACAGUUUACUCAUUGCAAUCAAAUUGAUAAUGUGUUACUGUUUUUAUUUAUUUAUUUAUUUUUAAUCUUUUUUUUUUUACAUUAAAUCAUUGCUCUUGUGAUAGAAAAAUGUUCAGAUCAUAAUAGUGUCUUCAUUGUUAUCUACAAA